rnacentral:misc_RNA from 1 species
GGUGGGAGCCGGCUUGCUGGCGAUAGCGGUAUGUCAGGUCAUGACGAAAUACCUGAUUCACCACUAUCGCCAGCAAGCCGGCUCCCACA